GUCUUUUUGAAAUAAAUUUAAAGUCUAAUCUGCCCACUGAUAAUAAUAAUUAAAUGGCCGCAGUAUUUUAACUGUGCAAAGGUAGCAUAAUCAUUAGUCUUUUAAUUGAGGGCUGGAAUGAAGGAUUGGACGAGAUAUAAGCUGUCUCAAUAUAAAUUUUUAUAGAAUUUUAUUUUUUAGUUAAAAAGCUAAAAUAAAUUUAAAAGACGAGAAGACCCUAUAGAUCUUUAUAUUAAUUAUAUAAUUUAUUUUUAAGAUAAUUUAAAUUAUUAUAUUUAUUAAUAUUAUGUUGGGGUGACAUUGAAAUUUAAUAAACUUUCAAAAUUUAUAAAACAUAAAUUAAUGAUUUUAAUUGAUCCUGUAAUAUGGAUAAAAAGAUUAAGUUACCUUAGGGAUAACAGCGUAAUUAUUUCGGAGAGUUCAUAUUGAUGAAAUAGAUUGCGACCUCGAUGUUGGAUUAAGAUUAAUAAUAGGUGUAGUCGCUUAUUAUAUUAAGUCUGUUCGACUUUUAAAUUCUU
rnacentral:rRNA from 1 species